CGCCGUCGCAGAUGUUUGACGUCAACACCGCACGAAAGUUUGGUCAUCCUUUACUUUACUCUCCCCUUUAUCCAACUCCGAAGGGAGCAGAGGAAAAAUUGCCACAGAAGAUGAAGCAAGUGGGCGGCAUGGAAGAAUAACCUACAGAGCACACAGUGUAACUAUAUGUGGUCUACACCAUGACUGCAGGAAUGUUUAAUGCAAACGUAUACAUAUCAAAACUGUACAUUUUAAUUGACUGUAUGCCGGAACAGUCAAUUGAAGUAAAUUAUAAACUUCUAUUCAACUUC